AGUUGGUGGAGUGAUUUGUCUGGUUAAUUCCGUUAACGAACGAGACCUCAGCCUGCUAAAUAGUCCGACGAACACGUUUCGUGUUCGAUUCGGAGCUUCUUAGAGGGACUGUCUGUAUCUAGCAGAAGGAAGUUUGAGGCAAUAACAGG
rnacentral:rRNA from 1 species